GACGGACGCUGGCGGCGUGCCUAACACAUGCAAGUUGAGCGACGAACCAGGGCUUGCCCUGGGGCAAAGCAGCGAACGGGUGAGUAACACGUGGGUAACCUGCCCCGAUGAUCGGGACAACCCGAGGAAACUCGGGCUAAUACCGAAUGUGCUCGCCGGACACCAGUCCGGCGCGUAAAGGAAGCUUCGGCCUCCGCAUCGGGAGGGGCCCGCGGCCCAUUAGCUUGUUGGUGAGGUAACGGCGCACCAAGGCAACGAUGGGUAGCUGGUCGGAGGGGACGUGCAGCGACACUGGGACUGAGACACGGCCCAGACUCCUACGGGAGGCAGCAGUGGGGAAUCUUGCGCAAUGCGCGAAAGCGUGACGCAGCAACGCCGCGUGGGGGAAGAAGGCCUUCGGGUUGUAAACCCCUUUCAGGGGGGACGAAGGUUCGGCGGUGAAUAGCCGUCCGGACUGACGGUACCUCCACAAGAAGCCCCGGCUAACUACGUGCCAGCCGCCGCUGUAAUAC
rnacentral:rRNA from 1 species